UACAGAGGGGGCAAGCGUUGUUCGGAAUUACUGGGCGUAAAGGGCGCGUAGGCGGCCUUCUAAGUCAGACGUGAAAUCCCCGGGCUCAACCCGGGAACUGCGUCUGAUACUGGAAGGCUUGAAUCCGGGAGAGGGAUGUGGAAUUCCAGGUGUAGCGGUGAAAUGCGUAGAUAUCUGGAGGAACACCGGUGGCGAAGGCGGCAUCCUGGACCGGUAUUGACGCUGAGGCGCGAAAGCGUGGGGAGCAAACAGG
rnacentral:rRNA from 1 species